rfam:Ovis aries breed Texel chromosome 2, whole genome shotgun sequence.
UCCCUUGUGGCUCAGCUGGUAAAGAAUCUGCCUGCAAUGCAGAAGACCUGGGUUUGAUCCCUGGGUUGGGAA